GAUGAACGCUGGCGGCGUGCUUAAUACAUGCAAGUCGAACGGAUGUGGUAGCAAUAUUACAUGAGUGGCGAACGGGUGAGUAACACGUUGGUGACCUGCCCCGAAGUGCGGGAUAACCGAUCGAAAGGUCUGCUAAUACCGGAUGUGGUCCAGAUGGUUAGAGGCAACUGGACUAAAGGCGAAAGCCGCUUCGGGAGGGGCCUGCGUCCCAUCAGCUAGUUGGUGAGGUAACGGCUCACCAAGGCGACGACGGGUAGGGGACCUGAGAGGGUGAUCCCCCACACUGGCACUGAAACACGGGCCAGACACCUACGGGUGGCAGCAGUAGGGAAUAUUGCACAAUGGGCGAAAGCCUGAUGCAGCAACGCCGCGUGCACGAUGAAGGCCUUCGGGUCGUAAAGUGCUUUUCAGGGAGACGAGGAAGGACGGUAUCCCUGGAAUAAGGAUCGGCUAACUACGUGCCAGCAGCCGCGGUAACAC
rnacentral:rRNA from 1 species